AUUACCCGCUGAACUUAAGCAUAUC
rnacentral:rRNA from 1 species